rnacentral:rRNA from 1 species
UACGUAGGUGGCAAGCGUUGUCCGGAUUUACUGGGCGUAAAGAGCGCGCAGGCGGUCGUUCAAGUCGCGUGUGAAAGCCCCCGGCUCAACUGGGGAGGGUCACGCGAUACUGAUCGACUCGAAGGCAGGAGAGGGUAGUGGAAUUCCAGGUGUAGUGGUGAAAUGCGUAGAUAUCUGGAGGAACACCGGUGGCGAAGGCGGCAUCCUGGACCAACACUGACACUGAGGAGCGAAAGCCAGGGGAGCAAACAGG